AUUUUUAAUUUAAAUUUUUAAUAAAAAUAUUUUUUUUUUUUUAAUUUUUAAGAUAAAGUUAUUUUUAUUAUAGUGAAUUAGUAUAGUAAUUGAAUUUUGAAAUAAAUUGAAAAUAUUAAAUUUUUAAAAGAAAAUUUUAUUUAUUGUACCUUGUGUAUCAGGGUUUAUUAAAUAAGAAUUAUAAAAUUUAAUUUUCUCGAAUUUAAAAGAGCUAAAUAAUUAUAAAUUUUAUUGUAAAAUAAAUAUUUAAAAUAAUUAUUUAGUAAUGAAACGUUAGUCGUUUUUAAAUUUAUCUAGUUUUUUAAGAAAUAAAUUUAAUUUAGUCAUUUAUUGGAAUGAAUUAAUUGUGAUAUUUAGUUAUUAUUAAAAUUAAAUAAUUGAUUAAUAUUUUAAGGGAUAAGCUUUAAAGUAAAAAUUUUAAAAAUUAAAGGAUUUUUAGUUAAUUAAAAUUUAUAGGAUUGGAAAUUUUCAUUAUUUAUAGUAUGUUAUAAUAAAUUUUAAUUUUAAAUAUAAUUUAUAUAGAAUUUUAAAUUUUUUAUUAAAAUUAUUAAUUAAAUUUUAAAUUUAAUGUAAUAAUGAUAAAAUUAGUAUAAUUUUAAUGUAAAUUUUUAAUUUAAAUUAUUAAGGUUAAAUUAAGGAACUCGGCAAAUUAUCUUUUUUCGCCUGUUUAUUAAAAACAUGUCUUUUUGAUUAUAAUUUAAAGUCUGACCUGCCCUAUGAUUUAUUAUAAUUGAAUGGCCGCGAUAUUUUGAUCGUGCAAAGGUAGCAUAAUAAUUAGUUUUUUAAUUGAGAACUGGUAUGAAUGGUUGGACGAGAAAAAGACUGUCUCAAUUUAAUUUAAUUAGAAUUUUAUAUUUAAGUAAAAAAGCUUAAAUGUAUUUAAAAGACGAGAAGACCCUAUAGAGUUUUAUAUAAAAUAUGUUUUUAAUGUAAAAGUAUUUAAAAUUUAUUUAUAUAUUUUAUAUUUAGUUGGGGUGACUAAAAAAUUAAAAUAACUUUUUUUAUUUUUAAAAUCAUUGAUAUAUGUUUAAAUGAUCCGUAAUUUUACGAUUAAAAGAUUAAAUUACCUUAGGGAUAACAGCGUAAUUUUUUUUGAGAGUUCUUAUCGAAAAAAAAGUUUGCGACCUCGAUGUUGGAUUAAAAUAAACUUUUAGUGUAGCAGCUAAAAUAGUUAGGUCUGUUCGACCUUUAAAAUUUUACAUGAUCUGAGUUUAAACCGGCGUGAGCCAGGUUGGUUUCUAUCUUUAAAAAAAUUAAAUAUUUUAGUACGAAAGGACCAAGUAUUUAUAAUAAUUUAUUUAAAUAAUGAAUAUUAAUAAAUUAUUACUUUGGCAGAUUAGUGCUUUAAAUUUAGAAUUU
rnacentral:rRNA from 1 species